rnacentral:rRNA from 1 species
CCCUAUGGGGUGCAGCAGGCGAGAAAACUUUGCAAUGUGCGAAAGCACGACAAGGUUAAUCCGAGUGGUUUGUGCUAAACGAACCUUUUGACAGUCCUAGAAACACUGUUGAAUAAGGGGUGGGCAAGUUCUGGUGUCAGCCGCCGCGGUAAAACCAGCACCUCAAGUGGUCAGGAUGAUUAUUGGGCCUAAAGCAUCCGUAGCCGGCUCUAUAAGUUUUCGGUUAAAUCUGUACGCUCAACGUACAGGCUGCCGGGAAUACUGCAGAGCUAGGGAGUGGGAGAGGUAGACGGUCCUCGGUAGGAAGGGGUAAAAUCCUUUGAUCUAUUGAUGACCACCUGUGGCGAAGGCGGUCUACCAGAACACGUCCGACGGUGAGGGAUGAAAGCUGGGGGAGCAAACCGGAUUAGAUACCCGGGUAGUCCCAGCUGUAAACUAUGCAAACUCAGUGAUGCAUUGGCUUGUGGCCAAUGCAGUGCUGCAGGGAAGCCGUUAAGUUUGCCGCCUGGGAAGUACGUACGCAAGUAUGAAACUUAAAGGAAUUGGCGGGGGAGCACCACAAGGGGUGAAGCCUGCGGUUCAAUUGGAGUCCACGCCAGAAAUCUUACCCGGAGAGACACCAGAAUGAAAGUCAAGCUGAAGACUUUACCAUACAAGCUGAAAAGUAGUGCAUGGCAAUCACAACUGAAUUCU